CCUACGGGAGGCAGCAGUGAGGACUAUUGGUCAAUGGGCUGAGGACUGAACCAGCCAAGUCGCGUGAGGGAAGACGGUCCUAUGGAUUGUCAGCCUCUUUUUUCGGGGAGCAACGAGGCCACGUGUGGCCGAAGUGAGAGUACCCGCAGAAAAAGCAUCGGCUAACUCCGUGCCAGCAGCCGCGGUAAUCCGGAGGAUGCGAGCGUUAUCCGGUUUUAUUGGGUUUAAAGGGUGCGUAGGCGGAACAUUAAGUAAGCGGUAAAAUCGAGGGGCUCAACCCCUUUAAGCUGUUGAAACUGGUGAUCUUGAGUGGGCGAGAAGUAUGCGGAAUGCGUGGUGUAGCGGUGAAAUGCAUAGAUAUCACGAAGAACUCCGAGUGCGAAGGCAGCAUACCGGCGCCCGACUGACGCUGAGGCACGAAAGCGUGGGGAUCGAACAGGAGUAGAUACCCUUGUAGUC
rnacentral:rRNA from 1 species